GAUCAUGGCUCAGGACGAACGCUGGCGGCGUGCCUAAUACAUGCAAGUAGAACGCUGAAGAGAGGAGCUUGCUCUUCUUGGAUGAGUUGCGAACGGGUGAGUAACGCGUAGGUAACCUGCCUUGUAGCGGGGGAUAACUAUUGGAAACGAUAGCUAAUACCGCAUAACAAUGGAUGACCCAUGUCAUUUAUUUGAAAGGGGCAAAUGCACCACUACAAGAUGGACCUGCGUUGUA
rnacentral:rRNA from 1 species